rnacentral:rRNA from 1 species
AGUGGCGGACGGGUGAGUAACGCGUGAGAAUCUGCCUUGGGGUCGGGGACAACCACUGGAAACGGUGGCUAAUACCGGAUAAGCCUUCUGGUAAAAGAUUUAUUGCCCUAAGAGGAGCUCGCGUCUGAUUAGCUAGUUGGUGAGGUAAGAGCUCACCAAGGCAGCGAUCAGUAGCUGGUCUGAGAGGACGAUCAGCCACACUGGGACUGAGACACGGCCCAGACUCCUACGGGAGGCAGCAGUGGGGAAUUUUCCGCAAUGGGCGAAAGCCUGACGGAGCAAGACCGCGUGAGGGAGGAAGGCUCUUGGGUUGUAAACCUCUUUUCUCAGGGAAGAAGCUCUGACGGUACCUGAGGAAUCAGCCUCGGCUAACUCCGUGCCAGCAGCCGCGGUAAUACGGAGGAGGCAAGCGUUAUCCGGAAUUAUUGGGCGUAAAGCGUCCGCAGGUGGCGAUUCAAGUCUGCUGUCAAAGCACGGGGCUUAACUCCGUAAAGGCAGUGGAAACUGAAUAGCUAGAGUGCCGUAGGGGUAGAGGGAAUUCCCGGUGUAGCGGUGAAAUGCGUAGAGAUCGGGAAGAACAUCGGUGGCGAAAGCGCUCUACUGGACGGCAACUGACACUCAGGGACGAAAGCUAGGGGAGCGAAUGGGAUUAGAUACCCC